rnacentral:rRNA from 1 species
UACGAAGGGGCUAGCGUUGCUCGGAAUCACUGGGCGUAAAGCGCACGUAGGCGGAUUGCUAAGUCAGGGGUGAAAUCCUGGAGCUCAACUCCAGAACUGCCUUUGAUACUGGUGAUCUUGAGUCCGGGAGAGGUGAGUGGAACUGCGAGUGUAGAGGUGAAAUUCGUAGAUAUUCGCAAGAACACCAGUGGCGAAGGCGG